UACGAAGGGGGCUAGCGUUGCUCGGAAUCACUGGGCGUAAAGGGUGCGUAGGCGGGUUUUUAAGUCAGGGGUGAAAUCCUGGAGCUCAACUCCAGAACUGCCUUUGAUACUGAAGAUCUUGAGUUCGGGAGAGGUGAGUGGAACUGCGAGUGUAGAGGUGAAAUUCGUAGAUAUUCGCAAGAACACCCGUGGCGAAGGCGGCUCUCUGGAACGCAACUGA
rnacentral:rRNA from 1 species